rnacentral:rRNA from 1 species
GACGAACGCUGGCGGCGUGCUUAACACAUGCGAGUCGAACGGAAAGGCCCUGCUUUUGUGGGGUGCUCGAGUGGCGAACGGGUGAGUAACACGUGAGUAACCUGCCCUCGACUUUGGGAUAACUUCAGGAAACUGGGGCUAAUACCGGAUAGGAGCUCCUGCUGCAUGGUGGGGGUUGGAAAGUUUCGGCGGUUGGGGAUGGACUCGCGGCUUAUCAGCUUGUUGGUGGGUAGUGGCUUACCAAGGCUUUGACGGGUAGCCGGCCUGAGAGGGUGACCGGCCACAUUGGGACUGAGAUACGGCCCAGACUCCUACGGGAGGCAGCAGUGGGGAAUAUUGCACAAUGGGCGGAAGCCUGAUGCAGCAACGCCGCGUGCGGGAUGACGGCCUUCGGGUUGUAAACCGCUUUCGCCUGUGACGAAGCGUGAGUGACGGUAAUGGGUAAAGAAGCACCGGCUAACUACGUG